UGUUUUACAUGUCCUCUUCUUACCACGUUUGUGUUCAUCCGCUUUUUGUGUACAAAAUGGCAUAAUACAAAUGGCGGCUUGGAGGCCAACAAAAUAGUAUUCAUAUGCCUUGCGUAAUGUCUAUGAGACUGGAAUCGAUUCAAGAAGAAAUGGGAAGCUCUCAGUCAUCGACUUAAAGCUGUUGGGCUUAGCCAUCAGGUCCAUCUCGUCUAGAUUUCUGCUGAAUGAAGACUCCAACAGAACCAUCUGCUGCUUCUAAGACAAUAACUGCCUUGACCUUGCAUUGGCCCUCCCUGUUAAGCAGUUCACGGGUGGCGGAUGCAGUGGUCGAGGACUUUGAAGCAGCUUGUGAGUCUGGCUUUUGACAAGGCUACCGAGUCUGCUGCAUGGUUUUCUGGCCACACCUCUUUGGGAGCAGACCCAAAACCCCAUGGAGAAGAUGGGGAGGAUCCAUCUUCUGGCCUGCAAGUAGAAUGAAUGGAUGGACAGAUUGAAAAAAAAUAGGCAUUCAUUGUUUUGUUUUUUUUCUGUGAAAUACUGAACUAACACCACUGCUAAACUAUAGUUGCUAGUCUAA